rnacentral:tRNA from 1 species
UNCCGGAUAGCUCAGUCGGUAGAGCAGGGGAUUGAAAAUCCCCGUGUCCUUGGUUCGAUUCCGAGUCCGGGCACCA